UCUCUUCUCUCAUUGGGUUGGUCUUCCUCGCCUCGAGACUGUAAAAAGUCACCCCUCAAUUAUCUUGUCUUACAAGACAGCAAGUGGUUAUUAGAUUUUAACAGGAAGGAAACAGAAGCAAAAGGGCCCAGUUUUGUUUUGCGUUUUUUUUUUUUUUUCCCCACCAGCAAUGUUCCCAGACGUUUGGAUGUGAUAUGACAUGACAGAUUUCUGGGUGUUUCCCUCCUCUGCUGAGAGUAUGUGGUCACUUAACCAUGGUGGAGGAAGACAGAGAAAUAUGCAGCAGGGACAAGGAUCCUGGGCUGGAUGGCUUGGAGACCCAAGCGCUUGCAUAUAAAAAUAUGCUUAUGUGUGUGUUUAAUAUCUGUGAAGCAAGAAAUUUUGAAGCCAGUUAUUGCUUAGACCCUAAACCCUAUUAAACGUGGUUAAAAGAUCAAUGGCAGCGGGUACAGCAUAGGAAAGCUUACAAACUCAGAAUAGCUCAGAACAAACAAACUUAGAGGAAAAAAAUGUGUGUGCAUGUGUGUAUGUUUUAUUAAGUGAAAUAGUUACAUAGGAGCAAAAGAUAACCAAAGAUGCUAGAUGGCAAUGUUCCAUGUCAGGCAGAAAGAGGCUAAGAUUCCAUCAGAACACUCUUGAUCUUAGGAAAACUAGUCUGUUUGUGUACAUGUGCUAAAAUCUUCUUUUUUUUUUUUUUAAAUUUGUUUUUUUUAGGGAUGCGCCCAUAGCAUAUGGAGUUUCACAGGCUAGGUGUAGAAUCAGAGCCACAGCUGCUGGCCUAUACCACAGCCACAGCAACAUCAGAUCACAGCCACUCCAAGACCUAUGCUGCAACUUAUGGCAAUGCCAGAACCUUAACCUACUGGGCUAGGCCAGGGAUCAAACCCCUGCAUCCUUAUGGAUACUAGUCAGGUUCUUAAUCCACUGAGCUACAAUGGGAACUCUGCUAAAAUCUUUUUUUAAAUUAAUUAAUUUAUUUUUUUUUAGAGCUGCACUUGAAGUAUGUGGAAGUUCCCAGGCUAGGGGUCGAAUCACAGCUGCAGCUGCUGGCCUAUGCCACAGUCAAAGCAAUGCAGGAUCUGAGAUGCAUCUGCAACUUACACAGCUCGUGGCAAAGCCAGAUCCUUAACCCACUGAGCAAGGCCAGGGAUUGAACCUGCAUCCUCAUGGAGAUUUAGUUCACUGCCGCACAACAGAACUCCACUAAAAUCUUAGAAUCAGUUUCUAGAGAACAAUGUGCUGAAAUAGAUAAGGGGCAUGCAUGCUAAAGUGGGUUUUGUUUCCUCCUUGUGUGAGGGGUCUAAGGAAAAAUGACGAAUUUUUACAAAGUAAAAUAAAAAUGUGGAAGAGAAUCUUCCAUGAUAGCAUUGGGAUUGUUGAAUACCAGUUCUGAAAUAUAAGGCACAGAUUCUGAGUCUCUUGUCUAACCUUUCUUGCUUAUUGGGCGAAUAUAAAAAUGAUGAAAUUCAUGACUGGAAAAUACCCUUUUAACUCUAAAGACUCUGAGAUUACUAAAUAGACUGUAAAGAAAGUAAUUUUAUUUUCCUCAUUUUGUUUUUUUCUUUUGAUUCAUUGUCUUUGAAUUUCUUUCUUUAACACCAAUCUUUUUUUUUUUUCUUUUUUUUUUCAGGGGACAGCACGAAUGCAGUCCCCCACUACCACAAAUUAUGCAGUCGAGUUCCCACAUUUGGGGAAAUCGCAGGAGUCAGCACAUCCGGAGUGCAGUGGAUAAGCCUGGUGCUGGGAAAACCACCCUCGUGAUCAUGGUAUCUCCCCUGCCAGGUAAGUAUUUUAACACCAAUCUUAAUUCUACAUUUCAUCCUUAGAAACUAAUGGAGUUCUGGUGAUAUCAUCAAGACGUAAAAUACGUUGUUCCUGACUUCAGUUCCCUUCAUAGGAAGACCAGCAAUUAUUCAUAGAUAAGAUACUGUUGUAUAAAUUCUAGAACACAGGGGUGAGGUUGUAGCAUCCUCCUGGAUCGUGGAGACCAAGAAGGACAGACUUAGAAGGGUAAGAGGAAUGUCUGCAGUCUGACUGCAUCUCCCCUCCCCCAAGUUGGUACAGCAUCACACUGAGAGGCAUCCCCUGGGCCUACGACUUCCCCAGAGGGAGAAAGAGAGUCCACAGUGGACACCCAGCUCUCCCAGCAUUGUGUGUCACUUCCUGGGAAGCCCGUUAAGGUCUCAUCUCAUGGGAUUGCAAGGGGAAUGCAUGGGGCUUGAGUAUUGGAGGUGAGAUUAUGAUGGAUAAAAAGGGCAGCACUUAUAGUAACCAGCACUCAGAUCUUGGCAGACUGAAUUGCUACUCAUAAGAGGGCACAGGUAGAAAUCCAAACCAGUAAUUUUCCCAUCUGCAGAGCCAAAAUGGCAGCCCAAUCUGGCCAGGAAACUCGAUGUGUGGUACUGCCUGAUUCAGAAUCCCAAGCCUUGUUUGCCUUGGAGCCUGUUCUGACACCUGCUCCAACCCAAGGCAGAGACACUAUUUCAUAGCCUUGCCUACUGCUGAGUGUAGCCCCCAUCAUUGCCUGACCAGGAAGCCUUGCCAGAGUGCCUGGAGAGCUGUAUAGACCAGAAGGGCUCAAGAAAAGGGCCUAAUUAGCAGGUCUGGCCUUCUCUAGAGCCAGGACAGUGGCUCCUCUGGACAGGUAACUCAGCAUGCAGUUCUGCCUAAACUGAGCCCUGAAACAAUAAACUUUGCUGGUCUUGUUGCCUGUUCUGCCAUGUUAUUCAGGCAGAAAGCUAAUUCAUAGCCUUGUCCACUACUGAGUAAAGCCUUCACUUCGCUAUUGAGUGACCGACCAGGAAACCUGGACAGAGCACCCAAUAAGCUGCAUGGUUCAGUGGCACUUGAGCAGAGAGUCUAGUCAGUGGCUCUGUCUUUGUGCAGAUUGAAGUUGGCAGUCCUAUUUGGCCAUAGAAUUUGCUAUUAGUUUUGCCUGAGAUGGGACCCCCCCCCCAAAAAAAUGAGCUUUAUCAGCCUUGGAGCCUAUUCCACUGACAUCUUCCUCCCCAAUUAGGGAAACAUAGCCCCACCCACUGCUGAGGUAACAUUUUGCCUCACUCAAUUGUGGAGCCCAGCUGGAACACCUAGGAAGCUGUGUGGUCCAGUAGACUAGAACAGAGAGCUUGGCCAGUG
ensembl:lncRNA